GAAAAAUUUAGGUGAGAAAACGGAUAGAAUGAGAGAAGUGAAUGAAGCGUAGUCCAAAGUCCGAAGAUCGUAUAAGCUUAUAAUUGGCUAAUUGCAUCCUCCCUUGCUUCUUCAUCCUUGUUAGGGUUUUGCUUUCUGUGAUUACUAGAGAAGGUGACUUCAUCGUGAUCAAUAUCUCCUUCACGGAAGCCUGUCGGAGAAGCGAUUGCGGUUGGGCAAAGGAAUCAAAUUGGAUUGAGCUUUUGUACAUAUCGUCUUGAUAAAAAGAAAAAAUAAAUGUCUGGACGAAAUCUUGGUCCUCAUUCGAUAAAAGGUGCACCCCACACUGUGAUGGCUCCACCUAUUCAUGAGCCGCCACCCUUUGCAAGAGGCCGCGGGCCAGUUCCUUAUCCUGUAAUGCUUGAGGAAAUGAGAGAGUCACAGUAUGGGAUGCCGCCGCCCAGGCAAAUUGCUCCACACCCUGCUAUCCUUGAGGAGCAUCUUGCAGCUCAGCAUGAGGAUAUUCAAGGAUUACUGGUUGACAACCAGAGGUUGGCUGCAACUCAUGUAGCACUCAAAGAGGAACUAGAAGUUACACAAUUUGAUCUUCAGCGAACAGAUCAAUAUGCACGUGCCUUGUAUGCUGAGAAUGACAUGCAGAUCAGAGAACUUUAUGAGAAGUCUGCAAAGAUGGAAAUGGAUCUCCAAUCUGUAGAAGUUAUGAGAGUUGAGCUUAUGCGAGUACGUGCUGAUAUUAAAGAUUUAAAUGCUGCAAAGCAAGAGCUCACUACUGAACUCCAGGGGAUGACUCAAGAUUUGACAAGGAUGAACGCAGAUUUGCAACGAACUCCAGCUAUAAAGGCAGAAAUUGAAAAUCUUAGACAAGAAUUGCAGCGAUCAAGGGCUGCCAUUGAGAAUGAGAAGAAGGGAUAUGCAGCAAACUAUGAGCAUGGUCAGGUUAUGCAAAAGAACUUGCACUCAAUGUCUCGAGAACUGGAAAAACUCCGUGCAGAGAUGGCCAAUGCAGAAAAGAAAGCUCGUGCUGCAGCUUCAGUUGGGAAUCCUGUUGCAGGUUAUAAUGGAAAUUAUGCUAAUCCUGAGUCAGGCUAUGCCGGAAAUUAUUAUCCUGUUGGUUAUGGCAUGAACCCCGUAAAUCCCGUGCAUCCUCCACAGACUGGAGCUGAAGGUUAUUCUCAAUAUGCACCUGGACCUGCUGCCUGGGGUGCUUAUAAUAUGCAGCAAGCUCAAGGACUCAGAUGAACUAGUUUAUACUAGGUUGCAACCUUGUGUUUUGCAUACUGCAUUCUGAUUGGUACUUGGAUUUCAGCGAGGACUCUGUUAGUUCCACUCAAUCUUUACAUGAAAAUGUGCAGAUUGACUAAGAUUGGGUAAUAGGUGGUGGAAGUAAAUAGAAGCAGGCUGCAGAAUGCAUCUCUGCUAUGCUACCAAAUACUGGGAUUGAAGGAGGAAUGGAGGUAAACUUGCAAAGAAGCUAUGAGAUUCAUAGGUUACUUGGUGUAAUAUUUUAGUCUUUCCAUUUGGCAUUGCAAUAUGAAUAUACAGAAUACAGAUACCAUCGAUUAACACUCAAAAUCUUAUGCCAAAUAUUGACGGAGAGAUUUGCAAGAGUUCAA